GACGAACGCUGGCGGCGUGCCUAAUACAUGCAAGUAGAACGCACAGUUUAUACCGUAGCUUGCUACACCAUAGACUGUGAGUUGCGAACGGGUGAGUAACGCGUAGGUAACCUGCCUGGUAGCGGGGGAUAACUAUUGGAAACGAUAGCUAAUACCGCAUAAUAUUGAUUAUUGCAUGAUAAUUAAUUGAAAGGUGCAAUUGCACCACUACCAGAUGGACCUGCGUUGUAUUAGCUAGUAGGUGAGGUAACGGCUCACCUAGGCGACGAUACAUAGCCGACCUGAGAGGGUGAUCGGCCACACUGGGACUGAGACACGGCCCAGACUCCUACGGGAGGCAGCAGUAGGGAAUCUUCGGCAAUGGACGAAAGUCUGACCGAGCAACGCCGCGUGAGUGAAGAAGGUUUUCGGAUCGUAAAGCUCUGUUGUAAGAGAAGAACGGGUGUGAGAGUGGAAAGUUCACACUGUGACGGUAUCUUACCAGAAAGAGACGGCUAACUACGUG
rnacentral:rRNA from 1 species